UACGGGGGGGGCGAGCGUUGUUCGGAAUUACUGGGCGUAAAGGGUUUGUAGGUGGCCUGCUAAGUCAGACGUGAAAUCCCUCAGCUUAACUGGGGAACUGCGUCUGAUACUGGCGGGCUUGAGGACAGGAGAGGAACGCGGAAUUCCAGGUGUAGCGGUGAAAUGCGUAGAGAUCGGCAGGAACACCCAGGGGGAAACCAGCCGACUGGGCAUUUGCUGACGCUGAGGUGCGAGAGCGUGGGGAGCGAACCGG
rnacentral:rRNA from 1 species